UACGAAGGGGGCUAGCGUUGCUCGGAAUUACUGGGCGUAAAGCGCACGUAGGCGGCUUUCUAAGUCGGGGGUGAAAUCCUGGAGCUCAACUCCAGAACUGCCUCGAUACUGGAAAGCUCGAGUCCGGGAGAGGUGAGUGGAACUGCGAGUGUAGAGGUGAAAUUCGUAGAUAUUCGCAAGAACACCAGUGGCGAAGGCGGCUCACUGGCCCGGUACUGACGCUGAGGUGGCGAAAGCGUGGGGAGCAACAGG
rnacentral:rRNA from 1 species